GGGUGGUAUGAUUACAACAAUUUCUGCUAAUUAUUGUUCUCUUGGUUUAAUUCCAAGACUCACUCG
rnacentral:tRNA from 1 species